CCGUUACCAGAUAAGAGGUCCCGCCUGCCCUGUGACUAUGGGUUCACGGCCGCGGUAUUUUGACCGUGCAAAGGUAGCGCAAUCACUUGUCCUUUAAAUGAGGACCUGUAUGAAAGGCAUCACGAGGGCUUAGCUGUCUCCUUUUUCAAGUCAAUGAAAUUGAUCUCCCCGUGCAGAAGCGGGGAUUAGAACAUAAGACGAGAAGACCCUAUGGAGCUUUAGACACAAGACAGAUCAUGUUAAGCACCUCAUAUAAAAGAGCAAACUAAGUGGAACCUGUUCUAAUGUCUUUGGUUGGGGCGACCGCGGGGCAACAAAAAGCCCCCAUGAGGAAUAAAAGUAUUCUUUCAAAAACAAGAGCCACAGCUCUAAUGAGCAGAACAUCUGACCUACCAGACCCGGCAUAGCCGAUCAACGAACCGAGUUACCCUAGGGAUAACAGCGCAAUCCCCUUUUAGAGCCCCUAUCGACAAGGGGGUUUACGACCUCGAUGUUGGAUCAGGACAUCCUAAUGGUGCAACCGCUAUUAAGGGUUCGUUUGUUCAACGAUUAAAGUCCUACGUGAUCUGAGUUCAGAACCGGAAAGG
rnacentral:rRNA from 1 species